UUCAAGCAAUUUGAAAUUCUUCAUUUUUUAUGAUAAUAUUUUAUUUCGUAUAUAUGUUUAUAGGUUUAUUCGUAUCAACAAAUCUGUGUACGAGUUAAUAACGCAGCCUGGUUCCCUGCAUUUUCAGUGAACCACAGAGAACCAGAAUAAGAUUGUAGGGAAACAAGCCUUGUUACAAGGUUUGAGGGUCUCUGCUAGUAUCAUGUGGACCCCAGUGUAACAAAUCUAUGGAAAGAGAGAAAAUCUCAGCUCAAGGGUCAACAUGUCUUUAUUCCAAGAAAGAGUGUACAUAUGCCAGAAUCAUAUGGACCGCAGACUGGCCCUGGUGAUUCCGUUAAAAAAAAAAGAGGAAAAAUCAGUGCUUGUGCUCAUUGGUCAUUGGACAAAGGGUGAAUGCCAGAAUUUUUUCAAGAACAGUCUGAAUCUGACAUGGAAAAAUGAAGAAAAACAGCCUUCCUGUUUAUAAAUCUACAUUCUGACAAAGGGUAAGAAAGAAAUUCAGGAGUUCUUAAAUUGCCCUUGGAGUUCUUGGAUUGCAUCAAACUGCUAAAAGACCUCAACAAAAACAGCGUCUUGAAAAUAAAAAUGAAAAUAUUCAGUGAAAAAAAAAUGAUGAAAGAGCCACUAAAAAUCUUCAAGCCUUUGAGCUGAAAUCUGGAAGUCAAUCUGUGGACUUUACUAGUAUGUCAUAAUUACUAAGUCAUCAUUUGUGUAUAAUAAAUACACUAAACUGUAAACACUUGUUAAAAUGUGUAUAAUUUUUAGAUAUAAUUUGUAGCUCACAGACUUCAAUAGUUUCAUGUAAUGUAAGUAAUAAUGAAAAUUUCCUGUUAUCUAGCUAGAUUAGAAACUAUUAUUGUCCAAUUUUGGAUAUUGUGAAAUAAUUCAUCUAGUAUGCAUACAUGUGUGUACACUUACGUGUAAAUUAAUUGUUAUAGCAAAUUCAAUCGAUCAUUAAGUUGAAUGUUGACUAAUGUUUUUCAUCAAAAUUGUUUACACUGAAUUGUUUGUGGAUUUUUCCAUUUGCCCAGUCAUGUCAAGGAGCACAUGGCAGGAAAUGCUUUCUCCUCCAUUGCACCUGGUGUUUUUAGAGGUCUGUGUUUGCUCUGCUCUAAUUAUGUAUUGUUUCAAUGGACUUUAAAGCUUGAUCACUGUUGGUAAUCUUCAUAUUUCAUAUACUAUUAGAGUACUUGAAGAAAACUGUAAAGAUUUAACAUACAGUAUAAUGCAUGUACGAGGGGUUAUCAAAAAGUUCGUGGACUAGCGUCAUAAAAUUAAAACCGCUUUAGGUACAUCAAUGAAUUUUUACACAUUUAGUUAGCAUCAUCUUUUCUAUCUACAGAAUAAACCAUAAAUCAUAAUUUUUAUUUUUUAAUAAAUUGUUAGUGUUUUUGUAAGCAAAGGUAUGUCCAGGCGGCGCAACCUCUAAUAUGACGUUUUUUUCUACCUGAGUGUAACUGAGAAAAACUCUUUAGAUAUGAGUAUUUGUCAUCAAAAAAUCUCGUUAAUUCAGGCAUGUGGUACGACACAUUUGUUCAGUAAAAUUUGCAAUUUUUACCCCAUUCUGUAAUUUCUAUGAAAUUUUAUCGUAAAUUUUAUAUGGAGUGUCCAAACAAUUAUGGGCUUGAAAAUAACGUCAAAAAGGGGGAGGGGUUUCUUUUUCAAACACUCUAUAGAGUUUCGCUCCUGGAAAAACUGGUAUUGACCUAAGGAAUGUUUAAACUGGCUACAGAAAAAUAAAAUGCAUCCAGAGUACUUGUUUUUAAGGCCCAAAAAGAUUCAGAGAGAUGAAAUAUGCACAGUUAGUGUCGAUUUGUAGUCAGGGUGUCAAAAGUCAGUCACAUCGAAAAGUGACGUUGAUCAUGUGUGGUAGAAAUUGAACUCCAACAAGCUAAGUAUUCUGGCAUAAUCAGGUGAGGAUCUUUCCCCAUAUAAAGAUCCAUUUACAAAAUUAUAUGCAUUGAAAACAGCUGCUCAUGACAUUAUAAAUUCAUAUAAAUAAGACGGGUUUAAGUCCAUACUUAACUCCAGGUAAUCUCAUCAAGAUAAUUGUAUGAGGUAGAGAGAGCGGACAUUAAGAAACAAUGACGUUAAGCGGACGUCAUGACACUAAACGGCGACAGCGCCGGGUGAUCACAUAAAGUCUUUUUAAUUUUAGAAUAAUUUGGCAAAUUAUCAACGUAUCAAGCUAAAAUUUUCAACAUUUC